rnacentral:lncRNA from 1 species
CGCCCGGCGCGCAGGUAAGGCCUGCCGCGCUGCCGAGCCUUCUCGCCCCCCGUCCUCGGGAUCCGUCGCCGCGCGGGCGCCCCCUCCGGGCUGUGUCAGCGCCGCGGCUCCCCCGGCCGCCCGGGGGCGGUCCCGGGGGGCGGGACGACAGUUCUCCCAUCCCCCCCAUCCCCCGGCACCUCAGGGCGCCGCUUCUGCCUCGGGGUCCCGGGGCCAGCCUCCGCGGGCCGGGCGUGGGAGCUGCGCCUGAGCCCCGCCUCGCGGGCCGAUUACACAAUCGCGGGGAUGAGGCGGGGGCCCCCUCCGCAGCCCCGGCCCGCACCUGUCCCCGCGGCGCGCCCCCCGGCAGACGCCGGCGCCCCAGCGCGACCGCGGGGGCCGGCAAAGUUUCACUUUGUGGUGGGGUUUGUUGACGGCCGCGCGAUGCGGGAGGCGGAGGCUGAGGCGCGAGGAUGCGCCGGGCGAGCGCGGCUGCCCGCGCCCCGGGUGGCUGUGCUCCAGGUCUCCCCUCCAGGAGUCCAGCCGGGAGCCCUGCCCCGGGAACGGCGGCUGCUGCAGCAGCAGUCUGGGGACAGCUCGGCCUCUCGCCCUCGCCCUCUCUCUGACAUUUAGACCAGGUGUUCACGAACAAAAUGCACAAAAUCCCGACUGACCGGAAUAACUCAUGAAGAAGGGGCUGGAUCCGUGGGUCAGAGAACACAGGACCAGUGUGCCACCCCAAGGCCGAAGUCUGGUGCCAUGGAUUUGGUCCUGCGUUGCUCACUGCUGCUGGAUCUUGUCCAGUCGAGGGACAGAACAUCCAGACACCUUCCUGAAGAUCGGGAAGAAAGGAGGUUCUGAAAGCCCAGAUUACAAGGCUGUGCCCGAAGCCCAGGAGGCGGCCCCUGGAGGGAUGGCUCACUCGGCAGCAGCAGCAGGAGGCACGCAGGCCCAAGAAGGGGUGAAGAUGGACACAGGAGAACGGAGAGACCAGUGUGAUAAGCACUCUCCCUGUUCGCAGAUGCCAGCACCGAGCAAGAGCCAUCCCCAUCAGCCCCCGAGCAGUGCAUCCAGGACCCGCUGGACAGAGGAUGCUGCCGUGGGGUCUUUGUCGCUCUGCCACCAUAAAAGCUGGAACCAGGGCCAGAGAAGCCGACGAAGCAGCAGGAAUCCUGAAGCUUUCAGAGGAGCCCUGAGGAACUGGCUAUGGAAUGCCGACCAGUGUUGCCAACAGAGCCCUGAAAGGAGAGCUUCCCUCCCCCGUUGGAGUCCAUCAUACCUGCUGGGACUCCAGCCAGCCCACAGCCACCCUUAA